GGANUGCGAUGGGCGAAGCCUGACGCAGCGACGCCGCGUGGGGGAUGAAGCUUUUCGGAGCGUAAACCCCUUUCGACCCGGAAGAAAGCCCGCAAGGGUCUGACGGUACGGGUAUAAGAAGCCCCGGCUAACUACGUGCCAGCAGCCGCGGUAAAACGUAGGGGGCCAGCGUUGCUCGGAAUUACUGGGCGUAAAGGGUCUGUAGGCGGUGCGGCAAGUCGGAAGUGAAAUUCCAGGGCUUAACUCUGGGGCUGCUUCCGAAACUGCUGUGCUCGAGUGUGAGAUAGGCGAGUGGAAUUGCAGGUGUAGCGGUGAAAUGCGUAGAUAUCUGCAGGAACAUCCGAGGCGAAAGCGGCUCGCUGGAUCACAACUGACGCUGAGAGACGAAAGCUAGGGGAGCAAACAGGAUUAGAUACCCUGGUAGUCCUAGCCCUAAACGAUCAGGACUUGGCGUGAGCCCUGUACGGGGCUCGUGCCGUAGCUAACGCGAUAAGUCCUGCGCCUGGGGAGUACGGUCGCAAGGCUGAAACUCAAAGAAAUUGACGGA
rnacentral:rRNA from 1 species